AUGAACGCUAGCGGCAGGCCUAACACAUGCAAGUCGAGGGGCAGCGGGGAGGUAGCAAUACCUUUGCCGGCGACCGGCGCACGGGUGAGUAACACGUAUGCAAUCCACCUGUAACAGGGGGAUAACCCGGAGAAAUCCGGACUAAUACCCCAUAAUAUGGGCGCUCCGCAUGGAGAGCCCAUUAAAGAGAGCAAUUUUGGUUACAGACGAGCAUGCGCUCCAUUAGCCAGUUGGCGGGGUAACGGCCCACCAAAGCGACGAUGGAUAGGGGUUCUGAGAGGAAGGUCCCCCACAUUGGAACUGAGACACGGUCCAAACUCCUACGGGAGGCAGCAGUGAGGAAUAUUGGUCAAUGGUCGGCAGACUGAACCAGCCAAGUCGCGUGAGGGAAGACGGCCCUACGGGUUGUAAACCUCUUUUGUCGGAGAGUAAAGUACGCUACGUGUAGCGUAUUGCAAGUAUCCGAAGAAAAAGCAUCGGCUAACUCCGUGCCAGCAGCCGCGGUAAUACGGAGGAUGCAAGCGUUAUCCGGAUUUAUUGGGUUUAAAGGGUGCGUAGGCGGCACGCCAAGUCAGCGGUGAAAUUUCCGGGCUCAACCCGGACUGUGCCGUUGAAACUGGCGAGCUAGAGUGCACAAGAGGCAGGCGGAAUGCGUGGUGUAGCGGUGAAAUGCAUAGAUAUCACGCAGAACCCCGAUUGCGAAGGCAGCCUGCUAGGGUGCGACAGACGCUGAGGCACGAAAGCGUGGGUAUCGAACAGGAUUAGAUACCCUGGUAGUCCACGCAGUAAACGAUGAAUACUAACUGUUUGCGAUACAAUGUAAGCGGUACAGCGAAAGCGUUAAGUAUUCCACCUGGGGAGUACGCCGGCAACGGUGAAACUCAAAGGAAUUGACGGGGGCCCGCACAAGCGGUGGAGCAUGUGGUUUAAUUCGAAGCAACGCGAAGAACCUUACCAGGUCUUGACAUCGAUCUAAAGGCUCCAGAGAUGGAGAGAUAGUUAUAGAGAAGACAGGUGGUGCAUGGUUGUCGUCAGCUCGUGCCGUGAGGUGUCGGCUUAAGUGCCAUAACGAGCGCAACCCCUAUGGACAGUUACUAACGGGUGAAGCCGAGGACUCUGUCUAGACUGCCGGCGCAAGCCGCGAGGAAGGUGGGGAUGACGUCAAAUCAGCACGGCCCUUACGUCCGGGGCGACACACGUGUUACAAUGGCAGGUACAGAAGGCAGCCAGUCAGCAAUGACGCGCGAAUCCCGAAAACCUGUCUCAGUUCGGAUUGGAGUCUGCAACCCGACUCCAUGAAGCUGGAUUCGCUAGUAAUCGCGCAUCAGCCAUGGCGCGGUGAAUACGUUCCCGGGCCUUGUACACACCGCCCGUCAAGCCAUGGAAGCCGGGAGUACCUGAAGCAUGCAACCGCAAGGAGCGUACGAAGGUAAUACCGGUAACUGGGGCU
rnacentral:rRNA from 1 species